AGUGAACGCUGGCGAUAGGCCUAACACAUGCAAGUCGAACGGCAGCACAGUAAGAGCUUGCUCUUACGGGUGGCGAGUGGCGGACGGGUGAGGAAUACAUCGGAAUCUACUUUUUCGUGGGGGAUAACGUAGGGAAACUUACGCCAAUACCGCAUACGACCUACGGGUGAAAGCAGGGGAUCUUCGGACCUUGCGCGAUUGAAUGAGCCGAUGUCGGAUUAGCUAGUUGGCGGGGUAAAGGCCCACCAAGGCGACGAUCCGUAGCUGGUCUGAGAGGAUGAUCAGCCACACUGGAACUGAGACACGGUCCAGACUCCUACGGGAGGCAGCAGUGGGGAAUAUUGGACAAUGGGCGCAAGCCUGAUCCAGCCAUACCGCGUGGGUGAAGAAGGCCUUCGGGUUGUAAAGCCCUUUUGUUGGGAAAGAAAAGCAGCAGGUUAAUACCCCGCUGUUCUGACGGUACCCAAAGAAUAAGCACCGGCUAACUUCGUG
rnacentral:rRNA from 1 species